rnacentral:lncRNA from 1 species
CAGCCGCCGCAGCCUGUCCCUGCCUCCUCCGGCGGUAGUGCCGCCGAGCCGGGCAGCGCGCACGGACACGGACACGCACACGCACAGGAGGAGGAGGAGGAGGAGGGAAGAGGAGAAAGGACCGGAGCACUCCCAGCACCAUCACCUAUCCCCCCAUGCGAUACGGGCGGCAUCGCGCAGCCCCGCUCUCCCGCGGACAGGCACCUGCAGGUUCCCAGAGCCACAGAGAAUGGUCUGCAGCUUGCUGUGCUCCUUCACCCCACGCUGAUGUGCCAGCCCUGGCUGAGAGUGAGCAGCCUCACUGAACUUUGCAGCUCUUGCAGCUCUGCCCUUCUGGUGAGGUGUCUCCCUAAAGCAGCCACUCUGUGCUAUAAGUGUACCUUUUUUGGUGUACGUGUACCUUUUUUGCUUUUGCUCUGUUUCCUCCUAACCGUAGAAGAUGUGGAAAUUAACAGUUAUCAUUUCCAGUUAAUCUUCUGGCACCGCUGAAUUCUGACUCAUGCCCUUGAAAACUGAAACUGAUUCACGCACCAGCCAUUCAAGUUAAACAUCUCCCUCUCUGAUUUCCAAAAAUAUGGAUAAAUCUUGUGGAGCCAAGCCAGCUAAAAAGUAAUGUUGUCUUUAAAAAGAAUUCAUGAAGAUUUUAAAUUCCUCAGCAGCUUGAUAAUUUCCAAAUCUUCUGGAUUUCAAGCUAUAUUUAGGUGUUGAUUUUUCCUGCACAUUUAAAGCUCGUGCCCUGUAGAUCAAAGUAUGCUAAAAACCUAGUGUAAAGAACUUCAUAGGAGGACGUUAGCUAAGACCCUGUAAAUGGUGUAUUUUCAUUGGAGAGAGAGUAAUGCAGGACUCCAGCCUCUGAGUUUGACCGGCUGCAUGGCAUCAGCCUGCAAAUCAGGCAUGGUGCUGAGCGCUGCUGAACAGGCAGUGGGGUCUGAUUGAAUUACUGGUCACUGAUAAAGGCAUUUUGGCUGGGAAGGACUGAGUCAGACAUCUGGAUUUUUAUCCAUCUGUCUUGGUUUUGGGGGGAAAAAAAGAAGGUAUUUAUUGCAGGGACAAGUAAAGGGAGACAGAAAAUUCUAUCUACUAUACAUAUAUACAUGUUUAAAUCCACAGUAUGUAAUUUUUUUUCCCUUGUCUUAGCCUGGUUGUAUGUGCUUGCUUAUCAUAAAUACUGUAAAAGCUCAGCUGUAUGACAUAUUGGAUGUCAUAGUGCAAUCCAGCAAAAUACAGUCAAGUGAUCCUCCCAGAAAAAGAAAUAUUAGUCAAUUAAUACUUGAAAAUUUUAGUCAGUGAUUAAACAGUGAAUUUUUUCCUUUUUUCUUUUUUCUCCUCCAAAUUGUCUGUGAAAUAUGUUUUCUCUUCACCUAGGAUUCUUGUUGCUAUUGGUUUUUUUUUGGUUUGAUUAGGUACUAUCUGUUCUAAAUUACUGAAACUGAUCUUGGAAUGGAACUGUACAGAAACCCUUCUUGGUAAUGCAUUCACGUGUACAAAAGAAAAGUCUGACAGACAGGAAAAUAAAGAAAUUGUGAAUUUGGAUUUACA